UAGAUACCCCACUAUGCCUGACCGUAAACUUUAACUUACACCUCAAUCGUCAGGGAACUACGAGCAAAGCUUAAAACCCAAAGGACUUGACGGUGCCCCAUAUCCCCCUAGAGGAGCCUGUCCUAUAAUCGAUAAUCCCCGUUUAACCUCACCACAUCUAGCUUAUCAGUCUGUAUACUUCCGUCGCAAGCCUACCACAUGAGCGAUACCUAGUUAGCCCAACGUCCACACAUAAAUGUACCCACGUCGACAAUACGUCAGGUCAAAGUGCAGCAGACGAUGUGGGAUGAGAUUGGCUACACUUUUUAACUUAAAAGAAACAGAAAACAAUAAUGAAACUUUGUCAGAAGGUGGAUUUAGCAGUAAAAGGAAAGUAUAAAAUUUCUUUUAACUCGGCACUGGGGUGUGUACACACCGCCCGUCACCCUCUUCAAAAAUUUCAGACCAGUACUUAACCCGCUAUCAAAAAUAAAGAAGAGGCAAGUCGUAACAUGGUAAGUGUACCGGAAGGUGUACUUGGAAA
rnacentral:rRNA from 1 species